rnacentral:rRNA from 1 species
CGCGGUAAUUUGACCGUGCGAAGGUAGCAUAAUCAAUAGUCUCUUAAUUGGAGGCUGGAAUGAAUGGUCGCACAAGAAGUAGUCUGUCUUUUUUAUAAAAAUUGAAUUUAACUUUUAAGUGAAAAGGCUUAGAUUUCUUAGUGGGAAGAUAAGACCCUAUAAAACUUUACAUAGGUAAGGUGGUUUUUAAAUUUAAGUUUAAAUAAAGGUACCUUCACUUUGUUGCGUUGGGGCGAUGAAAAUAUAAGUGUAACUGUUUGUUAAUAAAGAUAAAAGUAUUUAGUAUAGAUUGAUCCUUUAUUAAGGAUUAUAAGAGUAAGUUACUUUAGGGAUAACAGCGUGAUUUUUUCUGAGAGUUCUUAUCGACGAAAGUAGUUGCGACCUCGAUGUUGAAUUAAAAUUUCAUCAGGGUGUAGGAG